CCGUGGUUUAUUCUUGAAUAUAUAACGAGCAUACUCAAAGCUCUUCCCUGUUAAUUAGAGGCCAGCGUUAAACUUAUCGGACUAAUCAAGAUGAAACAAUCAAUGAUCGUCCUGCUCGUGAUUGGACUCUCUUUGUUUGCCCUCACCGACAUCUUCAUAACUCCAACAAUGUCAACUGCACAUGAUGAACGGUAUCGCCGAAGACUCGCAUAUGAUGAAGUAGACGUAGAACAGAAACAAGCAGAUGAUACGGCCCCGGAUUACGUCGAAGUCUUGGAAAUGGAGUCAUUAUUCGACGUAUAGCUGUAUACGGUAUAAAUGAAAAGAAGAAUAUUAUUCAAGACUAAAUUCGAAUUUUUAGUUAAUAUAUAUAUAUAUAUUGACGAGAAUAAAUGUAAAGGGACAGAAACAUGGAACUAUUCGCAUAUAAACACAUAUGAAAUUUUUUAAAU